rnacentral:lncRNA from 1 species
UGAUGUAAUUUCUUUGUACGCAGGUAUUAUUGGGGAGAGGUGAAGCGUGACAUUUUGCUGAGAAGGUAUUUCUCAGGCCGCCCUGAGCAGCAGAUUGCUGGAGACGGUCACCCCGGUUCACACCGAGGCGCGGGCUCUCCCAGGCCUCUUUCCCUAGCAACUUCCCAUUGGACACUUGUGUCACCUAAAAGGGAUGUGCUACCACUGCAAGGUAAUUGCAUCCGCUUUUGCGCGCCGGGAGCUGCUGCAGCCUCCUCCCCGUGCCGCGCUUCGAGCGUUUGGAAAGCACCGCUGCGGCAUUGCUCUGUCCCUCCUCUGGCAGCGUAUUCCGGAACCGUCCUGGAUCUGCUGCAAAAGCUCGUUGGCG